rnacentral:tRNA from 1 species
UGCUGUUGAUGACGUGGUUUGCUCCCGUGUCGCCGUUGGCGCUGGCGCAGCCGGCGUCUGUUCCCGCUGCGCCGGCCGGCGCGGCAGCGGC